rnacentral:lncRNA from 1 species
CACGGACGGCUCGUUUUAGAUCAAUAGAAUAGGAUUAAGAGAUUAGGUUCAAAAAAUAUAUAUGUGAGAGAGAAAGAGAGAGAGAGAGAGAGAGAGAGUAGGGCUGCUGUGCUCUUAGGAGCACGGAGGCUUCCGUGCUCCUGAGUCGUUUUCGAUGAUGGAAUUUUCAAAUCGACGAUCGGCUCCGUUAGACUUGAUCUAGGAUAUUUGAAGUUUCUAGAAAAUAAAUUUUGCGAUUUUUUGAUAUCAUUUAUCUAGUGAUCGAAAGGAUUCAAAAUCAAUAAUUUUUAAUGGUUGAUAUCUGCCGUUUUCAAGUUUAACGGUGUAGAAGUAUUCAAAUCAGAUGAAAUUUUGCUACAAAAUUCUUUAUACUAUCUACAUUAAGAUCAAUAUUUCUGAUCGAAAAUUUUAGUGCUAUAUCACCACUUUUUAUAGGAUUUUUAUUUUCAGCCGUUAAAAAUUAUUGAUUUUGAAUCCUUUCGAUUGUUAGGUAAAUGAUAUCGAAAAAUCGCAAAAAUUAUUUUCUAGAAU